rnacentral:lncRNA from 1 species
AAUUGUUAAGGACUCUUUGUUUCUCACGUUAAUUCUUUUCCCACGCACAAUAUGAUUGUAUUUUUUUUCCUAGGUAGAGGAAGAGUCCUUCUGCUAGUGAAACACUUUUUAUUCCACACCAACCCAUUAUUUUUCAUGUUGAAAAUUAAUUGAUAACGUGUAGGAAUUAAGGGAUGCCAAGAGUUGGCGUCCCAUGGUGUCGCCCCUUAUUUCCUAUAAAUAGGGGGUGCUACACCUAAUUUCUAUGGGCCAAAUAGGUUGAGAGUGGGUGUAAAAAUGAGAGAAAAAAAUAAAAGAAAUUUGAGAAAAAGACAAGAAAAAAAGGGAGAGAAAAAAUAGAAAAGAAGGGAAGAGAGAAAAUAGAAAGUAUGAGAUACUUGUCUAG